AAACGAAAUAGGAGUAGAGUCGCCUAAGAUUCAAAAAGGAAGUUGGAACACAAGAGAGGUCUGAUUAAUACUAGUUUUCUGUAAAAUCGCGAAGAAACACACAGUUAGCACCGUCAACCUCUGCAACCACCGAUUCCAACCAUGCUUCCCCUUUCCCUUCUCAAGACUGCCCAAGGCCACCCCAUGCUGGUGGAACUGAAAAAUGGGGAGACUUAUAACGGGCACUUGGUUAAUUGUGAUACAUGGAUGAACAUCCAUCUCCGAGAAGUCAUUUGUACCUCUAAAGAUGGAGAUAGAUUUUGGCGUAUGCCUGAGUGCUACAUUCGUGGCAAUACCAUUAAGUACCUUCGGGUUCCUGAUGAGGUUAUUGACAAAGUCCAGGAAGAAACAAAGAGCCGUACUGAUCGCAAACCCCCUGGUGUGGGACGUGGAAGGGGAAGAGGUAGGGAUGAUGGUCCUGGUGGACGUCAACCAAAAGGAAUUGGGCGAGGUAUUGAUGAGGGUGGAGCUAAAGGACAAGGAGGACGAGGCCGGGGUGGUCCAGGUGGAAAACCCAGUGGAAACAGAGGUGCAGGGCGAGGUAGAGGUUGAUUUGGGUGCUGAUAUGGAACUACAGAUGGGCCAGUUGCUGCUUUUAGAGGCAUUGGUGCCCAUUCAAAACAUUUAGUGUUUGUGUUAUGUUUCCUGUGCAUUAUUUGAUUUUAGGUUUCCAAUUGUUUUCCUGCAUUUAUAGUCACAAAAAUGGUGAUAUUAUGGACCUCAUCAAAAAUCUUCUAUGCCAACAUCGUUUUCCAAUGCCUUCUCUGUUGAAAACUUGCCUUUGUAAUCCUUUUUCCUGAGGCUAUGUUUAGAUAUCUAGUGAUGAGUGAAAUGAAAUGGAAAGGAAUCAUGGGGUGGAAUGAAAUAAAAUUAGCAUUCUAUUGUUUGGAUAGUUUUAUUGGAGGGGAAGGAAUAGAAUACAAUGCAUGCUUUCAUUCCAUCCUAUUCUAAUCCAAACUACCCAAAUAAUGGAACCUAGUCUUAAUUCUUUUUCAUUCCACUUUAUUACAUUCUUUUCCUUCAAUUCAAACGUAGUAUCGGGGAGAAGUAAUCAUGGUGGUACAUGUUAAUUGUUGAAUAGUAAAUACCUCCGAAUCUUGCUAAGUUUUUAAAUGUUAUAUUGAAUCCGAAGUUUGUUUGUA